UUAAAACAAGCUGUCUGUUGGUAGGUGAAGCAUACAAAAGCCGUUAUUUGCAUCCUCUAGGCCAUUUACUGUGAAAGAUGCUGAGAUACAAAAUUCAGGCAGGAAAGCUGAAUAAAACAAGGCGUGGUUGAGGCGCCCUGGGCAAGUUAUUGGACGUCUGCCCUCGCAUUUCCUGUUUGUAGGAGGUAAGCAAUGGCAGCUGCUGGGCUAGGGUUUCUGAAAGAGACGCUGGGACAGAAAACAGCUCAGGUUGCUGGUUCUUUCACUUCAGCGGUUGAGGCUGCAGCAUCGGAUAUAGGUGAGGUUGCCCCUUCGGUCUCCAUGGCAACGCUGGAGGGGGCGGCAGAGAAAGGCCGCCCUCCACCUUACACGCCACCUCGCCAGCUCGGACCUCCAGACACACUCUGGUGCUCCGCCAGGGGGAGCCCAGCUCCAAGUUCUGGUCCUCCGCGAACUCCAGUCGUCAUGGCAGCGGCCAGGAAGGACAAGGCGCUUUCCAGCAGGGUCCGGCUUCACUAGCUCCAGGCCCUCCAGCCAGAUAAGGGUGAGGGGUGGUCAGCUGGCCGUGUCCUGUCAUCCCUGCCAGGUAGCUAUUGCCUUAGUUAAUAGAUGAAGAGCUGAGUCGUGCUAAUGUUAAGGAACUUGCCCAACACCACAGUAAUACAUGAAAGAGCUGAAAGAGCUGGAACCAGACAGUGGCCUGCCUGCCUUUGGAGCUGUGUUCUUAACUGGACCUUUGGUGCUACCAGGAAUUAAUGUUAAAAAUCUAAUCCCAGAGCUGGCUCCCCAGCACAGCAGAAAUAGACUGCUCAAGAGAGGCUGGCUCACACAUUGCAACUGCAGUUAGAAUCUGCCGGCAGGUCAGCUAGAAACACUGCAGGCACA